CCUACGGGUGGCUGCAGUGGGGAAUAUUGCACAAUGGAGGGAACUCUGAUGCAGCGACGCCGCGUGAGCGAUGAAGGUCUUCGGAUCGUAAAGCUCUGUCCUAAGGGACGAUAAUGACGGUACCUUAGGAGGAAGCUCCGGCUAACUACGUGCCAGCAGCCGCGGUAAUACGUAGGGAGCAAGCGUUGUCCGGAUUUAUUGGGCGUAAAGGGUGCGUAGGCGGCCUGAUAAGUCAGAUGUGAAAGGCGGAGGCUCAACCUCCGUUAGCAUCUGAAACUGUCAGGCUUGAGUGAAGGAGAGGAAAGUGGAAUUCCUAGUGUAGCGGUGAAAUGCGUAGAUAUUAGGAGGAAUACCGGUGGCGAAGGCGACUUUCUGGACUUAAACUGACGCUGAGGCACGAAAGUGUGGGGAGCAAACAGGAUUAGAUACCCUUGUAGUC
rnacentral:rRNA from 1 species